CGCAGCCGCGGUAAUUCCAGCUCCAAUAGCGUAUAUUAAAGUUGUUGCAGUUAAAAAGCUCGUAGUUGAAUUUCGGGAUCAAUACUUCGGUCAUGCCGUUGGUAUGCACUGUUAUCAUUGAUUUCUCACCUUCUAAAGAACCGUAAUGCCAUUAAUUUGGUGUUACGGGGAAUUAGGACUGUUACCUUGAAAAAAUUAGAGUGUUUAAAGCAGGCUCACGCUUGAAUACAUUAGCAUGGAAUAAUGAAAUAGGACAUCCGAUUCUAUUUUGUUGGUUUCUAGGAUCGAUGUAAUGAUUAAUAGGGAUAGUUGGGGGCAUUAGUAUUCAAUUGUCAGAGGUGAAAUUCUUGGAUUUAUUGAAGACUAACUACUGCGAAAGCAUUUGCCAAGGAUGUUUUCAUUAAUCAAGAACGAAAGUUAGGGGAUCGAAGACGAUCAGAUACCGUCGUAGUCUUAACCAUAAACUAUGCCGACUAGGGAUCGGA
rnacentral:misc_RNA from 1 species